rnacentral:rRNA from 1 species
UACGUAGGGGGCAAGCGUUGUCCGGAUUCAUUGGGCGUAAAGGGUGUGUAGGUGGCGCGCUAAGUCGGGUGUGAAAUUUCGGAGCUUAACUCCGAAACUGCAUUCGAUACUGGCGUGCUUGAGGACUGGAGAGGAGACUGGAAUUCAUGGUGUAGCAGUGAAAUGCGUAGAGAUCAUGAGGAAGACCAGUGGCGAAGGCGGGUCUCUGGACAGUUCCUGACACUGAGACACGAAGGCCAGGGGAGCAAACGGG